rnacentral:rRNA from 1 species
CCUACGGGAGGCAGCAGUGGGGGAUAUUGCACAAUGGGGGCAACCCUGAUGCAGCGACGCCGCGUGUGGGAAGACGGCCCUCUGGAUUGUAAACCACUGUCCCCAGGGACGAAGAUGACGGUACCGGGGGUGGAAGCACCGGCAAACGAGGGGCGAGCAGCCGCGGUAAUUCGUAGGGGGCGGGCGUUGUCAGGAUUUACUGGGGGUAAAGGGAGCGUAGGGGGGGAAUGAGGUUGGGUGGAAAAACUACAGGCUAAACUGGGAGUCGCACUCGAAACUUCAGGGCUUGAGUGUAGGUGAGGCAGGCGGAAUGUCUAGUGUAGCGGUGAAAUGCUUAGAGAUUAGGAGGAACACCGGUGGCGAAGGCGGCCUGCUGGACUAUUACUGACGUUGAGGCCCGAAAGCGUGGGGAGCAAACAGGAUUAGAUACCCCAGUAGUC